GUGCUUGCUUCAGCAGCACAUAUGCCAAAGUUGGAAUGAUACAGAGAAAAUUAGCAUGCCUCUGCACAAGAAUGACAUGCAAAUUUGUAAAGCGUUCCAUAUUUUA
ensembl:snRNA U6 U6 spliceosomal RNA